CCGUGCCUGGUUCUGGCAUUUGUCCUGUGUGGUCCUUUGGGGAAUAUUGCACCUUGCGGCCUUCUACUGCGCUGCCCCUCCUGGUACAUGGGGAUGGGAAUUUCCUGUCACAUUUUCAGUUUAUUAGAGUGUUUCGUUUGGGGCUGGAAGCCAUGGGUUUGGUUAGCAAGGAGUUCGGGGGCCACUCGUUCCGUAUUGGGGCGGCUACUGAGGCCUCUAGGGUUGGCAUGCCUGCGCAGGUGGUUCAGAGGAUUGGUAGGUGGGAAUCAAGACGUUAUGUUUCCUAUGUUCGUCCGGAUGGUUUACUGUCGUAAUUUCUUUCCACAGUUUCGGUUCCCCCCAGGAUUUGGAUCAUCGGGCACUCUUAUGUUUACUGGGCUGGG